rnacentral:pre_miRNA from 1 species
GAUUUCAACUAAAAAAGCCAUCAACAACAAAGUGCUACUAACUUUUAUGUUUGUCAUUUCUUCAUCCGACAAAGUGUUAGUAACAUUGUUCACAAAAUUUACAUAUUUGUGUUAUAGUUUAUAAACUAGAUGAGAGAUAUGUGAAUUUUGUGAACAAUAUUACUAUCACUUUGUCGCAUGAAGAAAUGACCAAAAUAACAGUUAUAGAUCUUGAUGAGUUAUACAAUUUUGUUGUUGAUAACUUUUUCAGUUGAAAUC